GAGAUAGAGUUUCGCUCUUGUUGCCCAGGCUGGGGUGCAAUGGCACCAUCUCGGCUCACAGCAACCUCCGCCGCACGGGUUCAAGUGAUUCUCCUGCCUCAGCCUCCCGAGUAGCUGGGAUUACAGGCAUGCGCCACCACGCCUGGCUAAUUUUGUAUUUUUAGUAGAGACGGGGUUUCUCCAUGUUGGUCAGGCUGAUCUCAAACUCCCCACCUCAGGUGAUCCACCCGCCUCGGCCUCCCAAAGUGCUGAAAUUACAGGUAUGAGCCACCGCGCGUAGCCUUUACUUUUCUUUUUUUGAGACAGGGUCUCACUCUGUCGCCCAGGCUGGGGUGCAGUGGCACAAUCACGGCUUACUGCAGCCUUGACCUCCUGGGAUCAAGCGAUCCUCCUACCUCAGCUUCCUCAGUAGCUGCUACUACAGGUACACUGCACCAUGCCUGGCUAACUUCUGUAUUUUUUUGGUAGAGACAAGGUUUCACUAUCUUGUCCAAGGCUGGUCUUGAACUCUUGAGCUCAAGUGAUCCUCCUGCCUUGGCCUCCCAAAGUGCUGGGGUUACAGGCAUGAGCCACUGCGCCCAGCAAGGGCCUCAGUUUCUUCAUGUCAAAUGCCACACAUGCAGGACAGACAUUUUGUUAGCACCUUCUGGUUCUAUCAUUUUCGUAAUCUGUAACUAAACAAUAAUUUAUGAGUUAAUGAUGUUAUUGAGUUUUAAGUUUUUGGUUGUUAAAAUAAAUUCCUAGCCAGGCACAGUGGCUCAUGCCUAUAAUCCCAGCACUUUGAGAGGCCAAGGUGGGUGGAUCGCUUGAGCUCAGGAGUUCGAGACCAGCCUGAGCAAAAUGGUGAGACCCUGUCUUUACUAAAAAUACAAAAAAAUAGCCAGGCAUGGUGGUACACACCUGUGGUCCCAGCUACUUGGGAGGCUGAGGUAGGAAUAUCGCUUGAGCCUUGGGGGUGGAGGUUGCAGCGAUUCUCCUGCCUCACCCUCCCAAGUAGCUGGGAUUACAGGUGCGUGCCACUGCACCUGGCUAAUUUUUGUAUUUUUAGUAGAAAUGGGGUUUCACUAUGUUGGCCAGGCUGGUCUUGAACUCCUGACCUUAAGUGAUCCACCUGCCUCAGCCUCCCAAAGUGCUGGGACUACAGGCUCACGUGCGCCACUGCGCCCCGUCUGUGUUUCUUUAAUUGAGAAUAAAAUUACCUUCAGUUGGUUGGUCUGGUCUCAGAAUCACACAUUGGUCCAGAAUUACACUUGCCCUGCUCUGAAGAAGAAUGCCACCUGAGAGCACAAAUGUAUAGAAAGAAAUGUACAUAAUAAAGCCAUCACAGAAGCAGAUAUGAUGGGACAGAUAUAAUAACAGAUGCCCUUUCAACUUGAUCCUCUCAUGCUAGGCCUAAAAUAAAAGAGUUAGAUUUAGUGUGUGUAUAUAUGGGUUACGUUUCAGAAGACAUGAAAUUGGUCUAAAUCUAAAUAAAAAUGAGCUAAGCUCUGCCUAGGUUCAUUUACAUUCAUCUAUCAACAGCCUUGCAGAGAUGGUUAUGUAAGUGCUACGGGAUGGUUCCAGCACUUGUUUCAAAGGGUCUUUCAGUCCAUUCAAGCUGCAUCCAAAAAUAGUUGAGGCUGGGCCCUAUUCUGUACUGCCUGUGGCUUCACAAACUGAAAACCACCAUAUCAGACGUGGUUAUGCCCUACCUUGCUCGGCUUUCUGGGUUAGAUCCUCUGAAAUUUCAUUUUAUGAGUAUUCCUGAUUACCAAAUGUUCAGAACUCAGCUCCUGCCCCACAAAUUCUUUAUGACAUUGCAUAAAACCAGUGACAGUGCCACAUCCAGGCAGGAUGAGGACCACGCACUCCUAACUAUGGAGACAGGAAUGCUGGCAGUGCUACUUUUGAGGUCACUGUUGGCCAAGAUAAUUGCUUCACUAGGCAAAGGCAAACCCCCUUAAGUGAGUUUCCUGAGGACUCAGAGAGGAAGGCCACAGGUGCUCCAGGAGGAGGAUGCACCAUCAGGGACCUUGGACAAUGACAGCAAGACAGUGAGAAGCCUCUGGGGACCAUUCUACAGGGGACUUCUUCCCUGGCCGUGCAGCUGACAGGCCCCAGGAAGCAGAGUCCCUGGGCUCUCCCUGGCAGCUCUCGGUGCAUUUCCAGGGGAACAGCUUGGCAGCCCCGUGCUGGGUGGUGCGCUCCAUCUAUUUCUAUGGUACCUAUCACCAUGGUACCUACUUGCUCUGAAAAACACAGCUAAAAACAGAACAUAAAGAAUAGGAGCACAGUCCGCUUCCCUGCAGUCACCUUCUGCAGCUGUUGUUAUGCCUCAAGAUUGCUCUCAUGGGCCCCCUUCCAUUCUGAGUUUCCAUGUUUUUGUUGUUUGUGACCUUC
rnacentral:lncRNA from 10 species